UAAAGGCGUAAGAAUUGUAU
rnacentral:siRNA from 1 species